CCUUACAGUAUGAACUUUUCCAAGGUGGAUACAAUUCCCUCCUGCCAGGCUCUUGUUGCCAUUGUAAAAGAAGAAAGACAACUAUCUAAACAGGCUGCAGAUCAUGUUGCACUCUACUUCAAGUCCUAUGAAUGUCUGAUGUAGGCCUUGUAUACAUUCAUUCAGACCUCAAAUGAUGAGAUGUUUCAACUGCUAUGGUAUCACAAUGUAAUCUUGGACUACUUUCAUGAACUAUAAAAUAGUUCAAAACGUG